rfam:Algibacter lectus DNA, contig: contig00015, strain: JCM 19300.
AUAACAGAGGAAAGAUUUGACUGAUUGCAACCUCUUUGUAGUAAAUAAAGUUUCAAAAACAUUGAAAUUAAUUUUCUACAAAUAAAAAUGCUAAAGGCAGUGUA